UCUCCGAGAAGAUGCAUGAGGAAAUUUGCCAGUUGGCCAGUAUCUGCCUGCAGCGGAUCCAGAGUUCUACCGGAUUCCUUCCAAGAUGAGGUGAGGAAACUGAGGCACAGAGAAGUUGAGUAACUUACCCAACCUCAUAGAGCUGGUUCACCCACCCACCUAGGAGAACCCACCAGGUCCCCACGGCAGCCAGAAUGGCCAUUUAAAAAUAUCAAUAGGAAAUCAAAGAGGAUGGAACACUUCCAAACUCGUUUUACCAGGCCAGCAUUACCCCGAUACCAAAGCCGGAAAAAGACAACACAAGGAAAGAAAAUUACAGCUCUCUUUGCCCAGGCAAAACCGGAUUACAACUGGGGUAACAGCUCCAAAGUCGAUAGAGCAAGCAGGAUCG